rnacentral:misc_RNA from 1 species
AUCUAAUGUCUAACCUCAAUCCUUAUCAAUGAUUCAGAUCCGUUCAUUCUAACAUUUACCUAUUCAACGAGGACAGAAUGAGGCAAAAUAUGAAGAAAUUGUUGUUUAAUGCUUUAAUUAUUAGCGUUUGUUUGAUACCCAGCUCUUACGCAAUAGCUCAAGGAUUUAAGGUAGAAUGUGCUCAUAAACCACAAAAAGGCAUUUGUACAGAAGAAAUUGAACGUUUCUUCUAUAAUGUAACAUCGGCUUCGUGCGAAAAAUUUUUGUUUGGAGGUUGUGGGGAUGGAGCUAAUGAAAAUAAUUUUGUGUCUCUUUCGGAAUGUCGUCAAGAAUGUCUGAAUAUGCCUCCUAUAGAAACAUUCGAUGAGAAAGAUUGUCCUAUUGCUCGAUGUCCCUCAGAAAUGUGUAAGUUGGGCAAAAGGUUGGAUCAAUAUGGUUGUGACACAUGCGAAUGUAAAUUAAAUAUUUGUGAGGAUGAAAUUUGUCCUACUGGACGAGUUUGUCGUAGCUUUACACAACCUGACAAAGUUUACUCAAUCUGCGCUGAGCCUGAUAUGCCUGAUGCUUGCGUUCAAGCUCUGGAUAGAGGAACCGGUCAACAAAACAAGAUAAUGUGGCAUUUCUUUGAGGGAACUAGAAAAUGUAUACCAUUUAAGUACGGAGGAGAGGGUGGAAACGAAAACAGAUAUGAAACAAUGGAAAACUGUUUGCAAAAUUGCUCGAAUUAUCUUGAACCAAGCUAUCAGAUUUGUUUACAAAGCAAAGAUGAAGGAGAAUAUUGUAAGCCAAAGUUUAUGGAUAGAACUCAGAAAUACUACUUUAAUCUAGAGAACGGACAAUGCGAAGAAAUGAGAUAUAAGGGUUGUCGUGGGAAUGAUAAUCAAUUCAAAUCUAAAGAAGCUUGUGAGAUUGAAUGUCAAGGAGUAUUUCACAAACAAUGCGAAUAUUCUCAAUGUAACAAGCAGUGCGAUGAAUAUAAGAUUGAUAAAAAUGGAUGUAAAUUAUGCGAAUGUGUUGAAAAUGAAUUUAAAGGAUGUGACGACUAUAAAUGUCCAGAGGGAUUGCUAUGCCAACAGUUUCAUGUAACCUACCAAUCAGAUCCAGUACCUCAUUGCUAUGAUCCUAAAACUAGUGAUAUUUGUCAAAGACCAGUAGAUAGAGGAAACUGCAGAGCAUCAAUUUCAAGUUUUUAUUAUGACUCGAUUUCGAAAACUUGUAAAACUUUUACAUAUGGUGGCUGUGAUGGAAACAGUAAUAGGUUUCUUGAGGAAGACCUUUGCGAAAUGCAUUGUACACAACGCUUACCAACAAUAAAACCGAAACCUCAUUGCGAAGAGCAAGAAUGUUUACAUGAAUGUCCAUAUGGAAAUCUUUUUACCACAGAUGGUUGUAAAACUUGUCAAUGCCUUCCUCCUGAACAUUGUGAUGAUCUUGAGACAAGAAAGUGUGAUUACAGAUCCUGUCCGGGUGGAUUUAAGGAAAAUUUACGAGGUUGUCCUACUUGUAAAUGUGCAGAGCCAGGAUAUUCUGGACAAAUAUUUAAACGUACAUGUCCAAAAUUGAAAGAUCCACAUUGCGAAUGCGAAUUUGGAUCUGAAUACAUCCAAGGCUGUUCAACUUGUAAAUGCCUACCAGAUCCGUGCCACAAGAAGAAAUGUGGAAAAAAUGAAAAAUGCUCUCCUCUGGAAUCAAAGUCAUAUGCAGGACAAUUUAUAGACUCAGUUUGUGUUCCGAAAUUUUAUAGUAGUAGAUGUACAUUGCCAGUUUUAUACGGUGAUGGAUACGCUGCUAUCCAAAGAUUUGCUUAUGACCCGAUUGGCAACCAAUGUGUGGAAUUUACAUAUUCUGGUUUGGGUGGCAAUAGUAAUAAUUUCAAUGAAAAGAACGAUUGUGAAGUUGUCUGCGGUAACAGAAGGGAAAAGUGUAAAGAUGUUCAGUGUCAGAUAUACUGCCCUUACGGUAGAGCAACAAAUGAUUUUGGGUGUCCUAUUUGCAAGUGUAGACAUAAUCCAUGCAAUAGUCACAAAUGCGACCUGGGGUUUGUUUGCGAAGCAGCGAUGGAGAGGUAUAAUAGACCUUUUGUAGUAUGCGUUGGUAAAUAUUAAAAGAAAAUUAAAUUCCUUUAAAUGUCUAACUUCAAGUCUAAUUGAAAUAAAUUAAUUGAGUUUAUUAAUUCUUUCAGCUGAAGACAACGUACAUACAAUAAAAUUAAGAAUAAACUUUUAUCAUGAUAAGAUUAAAGAUCUUAAAAAUAUGAACAUUGAGCAUUUUAAAAAGGCUGUGACAAAGAAAUUGAAAAGUCUCGUUGAAUCUAAUUUUAGAGUUGUCGAUAUUAUUAUCAUGAAACCGGAUAGUACGUAUAUACAAUUAGAUGUCGACCUAGCAAAACUUCCUUCUGCGGCUAUUAACCUUGUUCAAGCUGUUGAAGAAUUUAGAGUAAUGUAAUUUUCUAUCUAAAUAACAUAUUUAUAGCUUUCAUUCUAUACAGGAAAAACUACGUAGUCAAAGUCAUGUGUCAAUCCAGUCUGAUGGCACUACUUUCAUCCCAUUCUAUGAGGAUGUUGGAGUUAUUUAUAGCAGAGAAGUACAUAGAACAAUUGAUCGUCAAAUCCAGCAUCACAGCUACUCUUCUCCCUUUGCAAGAGGAUUUAUUUUUGUACUAAUCGCAAUGGUAUUUGCUGGUUUUAUAACAUUAGCAGUUUUGUUAUAUAAAAAACAGUGUCAAAAGAAAGGAUUUAACUAUUCCUCAGUUGGCUAUAAAAGAGCAACAAGCGAUACUUCAAUUAUAAAAACAUGAAAACAAUUAUAUUUGAUCUUUCUUAGUGAUUUUAGACAAAAAUUUUUUCAACAAAGUUAAAUUUUCUCUCUUGUUACCAAAAAUUAAUAUUGUAUAUUUUGUAACCUAAUUACUUUCAUCUCAAAAUAAACGUUUAAGAGUUUUAACAAUAGAUUAAAAGAAUAUAAACAAU